rnacentral:lncRNA from 1 species
AGACACUUGGGGUCUGGACGCAACGGAGGCGGGAGCGUGAACGCCCCUCCAGCCUUCGAGUCGUUCUUGCUCUUCGAGGGCGAGAAGAAGAUCACCAUUAACAAGGACACCAAGGUACCCAAUGCCUGUUUAUUCACCAUCAACAAAGAAGACCACACACUGGGAAACAUCAUUAAAUCACGUGCCUGCUUCCCCUUCGCCUUCUGCCGUGAUUGUCAGUUUCCUGAGGCCUCCCCAGCCACGCUUUCUGUACAGCCUGCAGAACUCUGCCCCAGAGCACAUCAGCUAUGUGCCCCAGCUCUCAAACGACACCCUGGCGGGGAGGCUCACCCUGUCCACCUUCACGCUGGAGCAGCCUCUAGGCCAGUUCAGCAGCCACAACAUCUCUGACUUGGAUACCAUCUGGCUGGUGGUGGCCCUCAGCAACGCCACCCAGAGCUUCACGGCCCCACGGACAAACCAGGACAUCCCUGCUCCUGCCAACUUCUCCCAGAGGGGCUACUAUCUCACACUGAGGGCCAACCGGGUGCUGUACCAGGCCAGAGGCCAGCUCCAUGUCCUCCGUGUUGGCAAUGAUACCCACUGCCAACCAACAAAAAUUGGCUGCAACCAUCCCCUACCAGGACCGAGCCCCUACAGGGUGAAGUUCCUGGUGAUGAAUGACAAAGGACCCGUGGCUGAAACAAAGUGGUCCAGCAACACUCGCCUGCAGCAAGGACAGCCACAGUGUGGAAGACCCUGUGCCCCUUCUGGGGUGAGGAGUACCAAGUGCACCUGCCGCCCACCUUCCACGCUGUGGCUUUCUACGUCAUGGAUGAGGAUGCCCUCAGCCGGGACGACGUUAUCGGAAAGGUCUGCCUUACAAGGGACACCAUAGCUUCUCACCCUAAGGAUCAUGAAGAAGUCAUGCUACCCACGCUGGAAUGAGACGUUUGAAUUUGAGCUGCA